rnacentral:lncRNA from 1 species
UCUCCUUUUAUUUAUAAUAUGAUUGUAAUCGGCCCAAAUUACCCGGCCCAUAUAUAAAUAAAUAAAACCAAAUACCAAAUGAAAAUUCAAACUCCCAAAUAUAGUCCAAUUACAUUAAAAUUGCCAGCCCAAAUCCAAACCCGAUUACAAGCCCAAAUACACCAAGACCCAAUCUAAAACCCAAACCCAAUUACAAAGGCCCAAUACCUAGCCCUAGACCACGAAACAGAAACCCUAGAAGAUCCAACCGCCGCUCCUGCCCUCCGAGCAUGCUGCGCCUCCGCGCUAGUGCGUCCCCUCCGAGCUUGUACCUGCACAACAAAAAUGACAACAAGCAAGAAAAACAGAAAAUCACAAAUCAAAGGCAAAUAAUGCAUUUAAAGUUAGAUUUUUUUUACAUUUUCCUUUUUCCAUUAUCUACUAUAAAAAGCAAACUUGAUCGUAAAAAGAGGGGAUCGAAAGUUGACAAAAUGAAAAUUCGAAAGCAAUAAAAAUCACAGUUCUUUUUUUAAGGUGAUUGGAUUUUUUUCUCUUUUUUGUUUCUUCGAUUAUUUUGGUUGAUGCUUGUUUAUUGUUUAAGAAAAGAAACACACACAAAAAAGGGGACGAGGGUUUACCUUAUAUCGGUGCCAUCGAAUCCUCGUCGCUCCGUCGCAAUCGAAGUUUGAAUAGGGAUUUAGGGGCAUGAGAAUAGCGGUUGAGGCUAGGGUCGAGACCCUAGCAAAGGAAAAAGAAGCAGCCAUUAUUAAAAAAAAAUGGGCUACUAAUGUUUUUUUUUAGGAAAUUUUUGUUUAAAUAACAUUACAAUACGACGCUGUUUUGAACUAGGGUUCCUAAUAUCAAAACAACGCCGUUUAGUGGCCAUGAUCCGCGCGGUGACCCAACUCAGGGAAAGAUCUGCGAGUUUCUGUCAUUUGGGUUAUUUGUGCAUACGACCCCUCCUCCUUUCAGACACAUUUCGAUUUGUUUUUUUUUUGUUGUUUUUUUUCCUUUUAAAUUUAAUCGUGCAUUUGAUUUUUGAUUCAAUUUAGUCCGUGCCAAAGUGCUGCGUUUUGUGGGGAGGGAAUAUUCCCUACUUGGCCCUCAUGUAAUCCGCAUAUUGCGUUUUGAUCCUUCUUUUUUGUUUUUAAUUUCAUUUGUUUCUUGGUAAUUCUGUUUUAGUUACAAUUUAAUAUUUUUUUGUUAUUUGUGUUUUUUUCAUUAAUUGUUUAAUAUUGUUA